AAACUAACAAGGAUUCCCCUAGUAACUGCGAGUGAAGCGGGAAAAGCUCAAAUUUAAAAUCUGGCGGUCUCCGGCCGUCCGAGUUGUAAUUUAGAGAAGCGUUAUCCGUGCUGGACCGUGUAUAAGUCUCCUGGAAUGGAGCGUCAUAGAGGGUGAGAAUCCCGUCUUUGACACGGACUACCAGUGCAUUGUGAUGCGCUCUCGACGAGUCGAGUUGUUUGGGAAUGCAGCUCAAAAUGGGUGGUAAAUGCCAUCUAAAGCUAAAUAUUGGCGAGAGACCGAUAGCGAACAAGUACCGUGAGGGAAAGAUGAAAAGAACUUUGGAAAGAGAGUUAAACAGUACGUGAAAUUGUCGAAAGGGAAACGGUUGCAGUCAGUCGCGUCCGCCGGGGAUCAACCUUGCUUUCGCUUGGCGUAUUUCCCGGUGGAUGGGUCAGCAUCAGUUUUGACCGCAGUUGAAAGGCUGGAGGAAUGUGGCACCUUCGGGUGUGUUAUAGCCUCCUGUCAUAUGCUGCGGUUGGGACUGAGGAACUCAGCACGCCGCAAGGCCGGGAUUCGUCCACGUUCGUGCUUAGGAUGCUGGCAUAAUGUCUGUAACCGAC
rnacentral:rRNA from 1 species